rnacentral:tRNA from 1 species
GUGCCUGUAGCUCAGCUGGAUAGAGCAUCCGCCUUCUAAGCGGAGGGUCGGGGGUUCAAGUCCCUUCAGGCGCG